AACGAACGCUGGCGGCAUGCCUAACACAUGCAAGUCGAACGAGACCUUCGGGUCCAGUGGCGCACGGGUGCGUAACGCGUGGGAACCUGCCCUUAGGUUCGGAAUAACUCCCCGAAAGGGGUGCUAAUACCGGAUAAUGUCUUCGGACCAAAGAUUUAUCGCCUUUGGAUGGGCCCGCGUUGGAUUAGCUAGUUGGUAGGGUAAAAGCCUACCAAGGCGACGAUCCAUAGCUGGGCUGAGAGGAUGAUCAGCCACACUGGGACUGAGACACGGCCCAGACUCCUACGGGAGGCAGCAGUGGGGAAUAUUGGACAAUGGGCGAAAGCCUGAUCCAGCAAUGCCGCGUGAGUGAUGAAGGCCUUAGGGUUGUAAAGCUCUUUUACCCGGGAUGAUAAUGACAGUACCGGGAGAAUAAGCGCCGGCUAACUCCGUG
rnacentral:rRNA from 1 species